AUGGAAGCCUGCGUUUCCACGAGCCGCGUCCUCCUCCCUUUCCCUCUCUGCGCCGCGCGGCCGGCGGAUGCCUGCUUCCGGCGCCGAGCAGGGGCUAGCCGACGAAGAGGGGUCGGGCUAAACCCGGCAACGGCGUCGCUCGACAGCGCCGCAGUGCUCCUCGACGCCACCGUCGGGGCGGGGACGGGGUACUCGCAGGCGCGCUACUACACCUCGCUGGGGUUCUUCGUGCUGUCCGUGCCGGGGCUCUGGUUGCUCAUCAAGCGCUCCGUCAAGUCCAAGGUCUCCCCCGGCCUCUCCUCCUCCGUGGAAAAACCUUCCCUUGGUGACGGCGAGGGGCCCACGCUUGCAGGGAAGAAAAGGAAGGAUGUUCCUGGGCGCGAGAAUGGCGGCGUGGCGAAGAGGGUGCUCAGGUCGGACACCAUGAAGCUGCAUGUGGAUGCUGAGCCUGAGGGUGAAGCCGCCGCCGUGGAUGUUUGCGAGGGUGACAGUUUGGAGAAGGCUGACUGUGAGGCUACUGUGGGUGACAGUUUGGAGAAGACUGACUGUGAGGCAACUGCGGGUGACAGUCAGGAGAAGACCAACUGUGAGGCUGUUGCAGAGGAAGGCAGAAGCGGGGUGCAGGCAGUUGAUGCUUGUAAAGGUGAUGAGCAAAUGGAUGAUGCUCCAAUGAAA
rnacentral:rRNA from 1 species